CAUCUGGAGUCAGCUUUCAGUAUAAUCUUUUCUUCCUGCAAGCCCUAGAGAUUUGGUCUGCUCACCUUUCUUCUUUCAGGCUGUCACCACCAAUUCUCCGUCCUAUGGUUCAUCUUCCACCAGAAUUCUGGGGAGUGAAUUACUGGAUCAUAGGAUAAUUCCAUGUUUAACUUUUUGAGGAACUGCUGAACUCUCUUCUGAUGUGACCGUAUCACUUUGAACCAGACCCCUUGGUAAGUAUGAUUAUUAGAGUAAAUAGAUAAUUUUAAUUUCUAGAGUAACAACAAACAUCUAGCAAGUUUAUAUACAAAAAAAUCCAUUUUCUAAAGUUCACUAUUAAUGAGCUGAAGAAACUGAGUUUUUGAUCGUGUAAAACUGAAGCCACGCAGUAGACCCAUG
rnacentral:lncRNA from 1 species